rnacentral:rRNA from 1 species
UACAGAGGUCCCAAGCGUUGUUCGGAUUCAUUGGGCGUAAAGGGUGCGUAGGCGGGUCUUUAAGUCAGGGGUGAAAUCCUGGAGCUCAACUCCAGAACUGCCCUUGAUACUGAAGGUCUUGAGUUCGGGAGAGGUGAGUGGAACUGCGAGUGUAGAGGUGAAAUUCGUAGAUAUUCGCAAGAACACCAGUGGCGAAGGCGGCUCACUGGCCCGAUACUGACGCUGAUGCACGAAAGCGUGGGGAGCAAACAGG